GAUGAACGCUGGCGGCGUGCCUAAUACAUGCAAGUCGAGCGAACAGACGAGGCGCUUGCUCCUCUGACGUUACCGGCGGGCGAGUGAGUAACACGUGGAUAACCUCCCUAUAAUACUGGUAUAAAUUCGGGACACCGGAGCUAAUCCCGGAUAAUAUAUUGAACCGCAUGGUUCAAUAGUGAAAGACGGUUUUGCUGUCACUUAUAGAUGGAUCCGCGCGGCAUUAGCUAGUUGGUAAGGUAACGGAUUACUAAGGCGACGAUGCGUAGCCGACCGGAGAGAGGGAUCGGCCACACUGGAACUGAAACACGGUCCAGAGUCCUACGGGAGGCAGCAGAAGGGAAUCUGAGGCAAUGGGCGAAAGCCUGACGGAGCAACGCCGAGUGAGUGAUGAAGGUCUUCGGAUCGUAAAACUCUGUUAUUAGGGAAAAACAAAUGUGUAAGUAAAUAUGCACGUCUUGACGGUACCUAAUCAGAAAGCCACGGCUAACUACGUG
rnacentral:rRNA from 1 species